rnacentral:rRNA from 1 species
GAUAUCCGCGUUCCUAACGUCUUAACUGAAGGUCUAUGAGGAGAGAUUGUGGGGUGGUAUGACAGCAAGAACUUAUAUGAUCUUUUGAGGAACCUGUUACGAAAGCGUGCAUGCAAGCAGAAAUUGUUAGAUUCUUAAAGUGGAGACUGUCAAUUUAUGCUUACGGGGGUUGACAGGGAUAAUUAGUAAUGGAGCCAGGAUCUUUUGGUUGUUUUAUCUUGGUUCCAGGAUAGAAUAAUAAGGUACGACGUCAUAAGUCCCGCUGUUCGGACGAACUUUGUGAGAUAAAAAGAGUUUCAUUUUCAAGGCCUUGUGGUUGCGUGCGUCGCUUCGCGCCUUCCGAUGGCCUUCUUUCGAAAACACCGUUGGGUCCGCGUGUGGGAUGCCCGUUCCGGCCUACUGGGUGCUGUCUUUAGGUUG